rnacentral:lncRNA from 1 species
GUUUUCUUCAUGGAUUGACUGGGACAGGCAGUUCCACCCCAAAUAAGCAGCUCGCUGGGUCUCAGCCUGCAAUCUCACUCAGACAGAAGACUGUGUCCUCUAGGGUGCCAGGAGGCAGCUAAAAUGUGAAGAAACCCUCGCCUGGCUUUUUCACCUGAGAUGAAAUUUAGCACCAAAGUGCAAUCCCUGAGGCAGCAGGUUUUCUGAUAUCCACUGGUGGCUGUGCAUGCUGUCUGCUUGGAGUGAAGGGAGUGUUCAUCUCACCGGAGCACCAGGAGAAAUGUAUAGGAAACAAAGAUGCACCACCAUAGGCACCUUCAUCG